GCAUGGUGGAAAAGUUGGUAACACUGUUGCCUUGAAGCUAAAAGGUCCUGGGUUUGAAUCCCAGCCUUUCUGCA